rnacentral:rRNA from 1 species
AUUGAACGCUGGCGGCAUGCCUAACACAUGCAAGUCGAACGGUAACGCGGGGGCAACCCUGGCGACGAGUGGCGGACGGGUGAGUAAUACGUGGGAAUCUGCCCAUUUGUGGGGGAUAACCCGGCGAAAGCCGGGCUAAUACCGCAUACGCUCUACGGAGGAAAGCGGGGGAUCGUAAGACCUCGCGCUAAUGGAUGAGCCUACGUCGGAUUAGCUAGUUGGUAGGGUAACGGCCUACCAAGGCGACGAUCCGUGGCUGGUCUGAGAGGACGAUCAGCCACACUGGGACUGAGACACGGCCCAGACUCCUACGGGAGGCAGCAGUGGGGAAUAUUGGACAAUGGGGGCAACCCUGAUCCAGCAAUGCCGCGUGUGUGAAGAAGGCCUGCGGGUUGUAAAGCACUUUCAGAGGGGAAGAAAAAUCGGAGCUAACACCUCCGGUCUUGACGUUACCCUUAGAAGAAGCACCGGCUAACUCCGUGCCAGCAGCCGCGGUAAUACGGAGGGUGCAAGCGUU